GAUGAACGCUGGCGGCGUGCCUAAAACAUGCAAGUCGAGCGAACAGACGAGGAGCUUGCUCCUCUGACGUUAGCGGCGGACGGGUGAGUAACACGUGGAUAACCUACCUAUAAGACUGGGAUAACUUCGGGAAACCGGAGCUAAUACCGGAUAAUAUAUUGAACCGCAUGGUUCAAUAGUGAAAGACGGUUUUGCUGUCACUUAUAGAUGGAUCCGCGCCGCAUUAGCUAGUUGGUAAGGUAACGGCUUACCAAGGCAACGAGGCGUAGCCGACCUGAGAGGGUGAUCGGCCACACUGGAACUGAGACACGGUCCAGACUCCUACGGGAGGCAGCAGUAGGGAAUCUUCCGCAAUGGGCGAAAGCCUGACGGAGCAACGCCGCGUGAGUGAUGAAGGUCUUCGGAUCGUAAAACUCUGUUAUUAGGGAAGAACAAAUGUGUAAGUAACUAUGCACGUCUUGACGGUACCUAAUCAGAAAGCCACGGCUAACUACGUG
rnacentral:rRNA from 1 species